AUAUGGGUACACUGGAGAUCUUGGUUUUAUGGGCAAAUACUGGAUUUUGAAUCUGUGACUCCAUUUUCACAAACAGUUAAAAAUUUUGUUUAUUAUAAUAUAACAAACCACUAUUGCCAUCUUAAAUUCCCCCCUUAGGCUAUAAAAUUUGUAUUAAAAAUGUACUGUGGCCUGAAGUGAGAGACUUCUGGGAGAAACUAGGAAGCCGUGUGGCCACUGAAGAGGAAGGAGGACAUGUGGACUUAUUUGUGCCACUUGGAGCAUCAGGUCAGUGUCAAAACUCUGGAAACGCAGGGGGCACCUCCUUGUGGUGGUACUUUGUGUGUUUCUGAGGUACAGUCACAAACGAACCCACUUAAUGCAUGGAUUAGUGGCUCAUUCCUUUUUACCACUAUAAUUAUUGCAUGAAAUAUCAUUACACAUACUAUAAUUUGUUUAUCCAUGCAAUGCAUUUGGUAAGUGAAGUUGCUUUGAACGUAUGUCUGAACAUGUGCACACACUUCUCUAAGGUAUACAAGAUCCCAGUGGUGUUAACUGUUACAAAGCCAGCUCAUUUGUUUUUCAAAGUGCACUUUAGUGUUUCUAGAGACUAUGUCUGAGAACUCGCUAUCCCACACUGUGGUAUUUGUUUUAGUUGUAGCCAUCCAAGCGGAUACAGAAUCAUAUCAUGGUGGUUCUGAUGUGCAGUUUCCUACUAGCCACAAUGCUGAGCGUCUUUUCAUGGACUUCUCUGCCAUUUAUCUUUCUCAGUGUCUGUUCGAGUAUCUUGCAUGUUUUAAAAAGUAAAUUGUUUAUCCAGUUGAUGACUUAUGUUUUCCUUCUCUGAAUGGUUUCUUCUGAAGAGCAGAACUUCUUCAUUUCUAUGAAACCGAAUUUAUUAUCUUUACUUUUAUGUUUUAGUAUCAUAUUAUUUAAUUAUUU
rnacentral:lncRNA from 1 species